rnacentral:rRNA from 1 species
GACGAACGCUGGCGGCGUGCUUAACACAUGCAAGUCGAACGGAAAGCCCCUUUCGGGGGGACUCGAGUGGCGAACGGGUGAGUAACACGUGGGUGAUCUGCCCUGCACUUUGGGAUAAGCCUGGGAAACUGGGUCUAAUACCGGAUAGGACCACGUCUCGCAUGGGGUGUGGUGGAAAGUAUGGUGUUUUCGAGCACUGUGCGGUGUGGGAUGGGCCCGCGGCCUAUCAGCUUGUUGGUGGGGUGAUGGCCUACCAAGGCUGCGACGGGUAGCCGCGCUGAGAGGGUGUCCGGCCACACUGGGACUGAGAUACGGCCCAGACUCCUACGGGAGGCAGCAGUGGGGAAUAUUGCACAAUGGGCGCAAGCCUGAUGCAGCGACGCCGCGUGGGGGAUGACGGCCUUCGGGUUGUAAACCUCUUUCACCAUCGACGAAGCCCUUCGGGGUGACGGUAGGUGGAGAAGAAGCACCGGCCAACUACGUGCCAGCCGCCGCGGUAACAC